UACGUAGGGUGCGAGCGUUGUCCGGAAUUACUGGGCGUAAAGAGCUCGUAGGUGGUUUGUCGCGUUGUUCGUGAAAUCUCACGGCUUAACUGUGAGCGUGCGGGCGAUACGGGCAGACUGGAGUACUGCAGGGGAGACUGGAAUUCCGGGUGUAGCGGUGAAAUGCGUAGAUAUCCGGAGGAACACCGGUGGCGAAGGCGGCUUCCUGGACCGACACUGACGCUGAGGCGCGAAAGCUAGGGGAGCAAACGGG
rnacentral:rRNA from 1 species